CUAGCCAUUCAAGCUCUCCAAGCUCAGAGUGCUCUUUCUGCAACCAGAGAAUCGGACAUGGUAUGAUUGUUAGGUACGGAUAUAUAUCUAACUUGAGUACAUCUUUGAAUCAUUCAUUUAUGUUUCUCACCUUGUUUAGAGAUUGAAUAUCUGAAAGUUCUAACAGAUCAUCAACAGCCCAUGGAGAUGAAAAGCUCGAAUGUUGUUGAUGUGCAGGCAUUUUCAUUGAAGUCUGAGGUGCACUCUUGUUGGGUGGCUCCAACACAUUGUUUUCAGUGUUUUUAUUGCAACUCGAACUUAAGGCAACUCGGAUUCCAGUGGCGAGGAACCUUUGAUGGUUUGCAGCAAGGCUGCCGGCUGGAUGG
rnacentral:lncRNA from 1 species